CCAUGACUCACAUCCCUGCUUCUGAGCAAAUCCUGUCCCUAUAGCAGCACGCUGCUUCUGUGAGCACAAAUGGGAGCUAGCUGAGGGAUUCUCCAUGGGAUGGUAAUGUCUGACCUUGCAUUAGCCACAUGGAAGGCUCCAGGACAGGAUGGAGAGGCUGUGAGUGGUCAGCGGUCAUGCAGGUGGAUGCAGGUCUCUCAAAAGACACAAUGGAAAAUUUAGAGCUUUAGAAUCAUGUUCAGUUAUUUAUUUUUAGGUUAGGAACUAGUUAUUUACUCAAGGUAUACGUUUUUUUGUUUGUUUGUUUGUUUUAAACAAAAAUGAAACAAUGGCAAUCAUGAUAUUUAUCCAAGGGAAUAAUAUUGCAUAGGGAAGAAAAGGUAAGGAGCCAGGGACGCCGUAGCUAGUCAGCUUCCAAGGAAUAAGCAAGACAGAAAAUACAAAUCAUUUGUGGGUGGUCCUUUCCUUGGGCUUGAAUUAAACAUGCUUUAUAGUCAGCUAGUCAGAACAUACCACUGUUUUUUCCUAAAAGGCAACCAUUCCUCUUUUGCAAUAAUAUCUGUCACACUAGGACAUGGAAACUACCAUGUCACAAAAUUUGUUUUAAGUUUCAAGUAAAAACUUAUGACAUUUUAAUGGCUAUGUUCCAAUUGUAGAAAGUUUCCAAGGAAAUGUUCUCAUUGCCAUUUUGGAUUGCAGACAGUGUGAAGAAACUGGCAAGCUCAGAAAGGUUAAUAGGGAACACCUUGGACCACAUUAACCAUUCUCACUGAUUAUGAAAAAUGAGGGGUCUAAACAAAAUCUGCUGGGGAAAGAAUUAAAACUGAUCUCCUUUGGACUUCUCAGACUUUUCUUCUUUAGGCUAUGAUUCUUCACCUCUGUGAAAGGUUGCAGCAAAAAGUGAAUGGAAUAGCCUUUUUGAUGCAUACAUAUAGACUCCUGAAGCAGAAGGCUUAGACUGCACAAGAAAGAUUUAGGUUAGACAUUAGGAAAACUCUUCUUCAUAGGAAGAGCCUGAAAGCUCCAGGAGAGAUUGAGCAGAUCGUCUGCCACCAUGACUGGGGCUGCGAGGAAUAACAUGAAUAUCACCAAUUCUGGCUUUGGAGAUGUAUUUUGGAUGUCACUACCAACUGCGUUUUCUAGUAAAACUUGGCAUUGUUUCAUCUCUGACUCUGAGAUGAGUUUCAGCAUCAUAGAAAUGAGGACUGAUUGGGAGAUCCCCCUGGAACAUUCAUUUUGGGCAACAGUUCCUCUGAGUUCUUGCCAUGUAGUUCAAGUGGAUGCGGUGCUACUCUGACUUAUGGCUGGAGCUUUGGGCUGUUCCCAAGUUACGUACAGUGUCAGUGAGAAAGUGAUGGUCUUGCCAGACAUAACGUAUCGUGCUACAAGCACAACACAGCUGGAGUUACCAAAUAUCAAUGGAGUGACUAGAUCUGAGUUUGAGGAUCCUUAUUUAGAGCAGAACACUUACUUAUGUGUAUACUUUGGAGACUUUCUUUGAUCAUCUGCUUCAUAACAGCAAAACCUAAAUGGAAAGUCUGCUGCACAGUGCUGGCUGAACUUAGCACAGAACAUAUUUGUAGACGUUAAGGCUGACUAGCAAGCCGCUCUUGUUAUAAUGCUUUGCUUCCAAUUGCCUUCAUCCAGGUUGAAGCUUUUGAUCUAUGAGCAUCCCAAAUUAAGAAAUUUCUCCUCAGAAAGAGUGUACAGGCAGAGCCUUGUAUUGUCCAUAUCCAUGCCUUUUCAGACAAGGCAUGCUCAGGCAGUUCUGCAAAACCACUGUAAUUUUCCUGGUGACUUAUUUUCACUUGUGGUAUUGAACACUGCAAGCACUUGUUUGCACUGUCCUGCUGAGCAGAGCAAGGGGUGUUGCUAUCAUGGGGCCAGAUGAUAGGAAGUCUUUCAAGUGUUUGUCUGUUCUUCACUUCCAAACAGAUGUUCACUCUUUUCCUUCCGUUUUCUACACUUUAUUGUCAGGUUUAAAUCUAUUUUGGAUGGCAGAUUUGUAUUUCUUCAUAGUAAACAUCUAUAAAAAUAUUAUGAACUAAAAAUAGUUGAACAACAAGAGAUUAAUGAAAAGAGGAGAAAGCAAUUAUGCUAUGAGUUCAGUGACUAUUUACCGAUGCAGAGUUUCAGUUGGAUAGUUCCAGUCUUCAUUCUGAAUGAUUGACUUGCACUGCCUGCAAUAUAUCAAACUUGCUUUCCGCUAAAAGUGUAUACCACUUUCUUUGCUUGUGAGUGCAAAGGUCUUUGUGCUGCAUGAGUAAGAGUAUGAAUGUCUUUGUUUAGUGGGAAAAAGCAAUUUCUCUUAGUAUCGUAAGCUGCUAAGUAAAUGUAAUUGGGAACAUCCAGGCAGCAUGAAGAUAAGAUCUCCCACCCUGCUAGUACACAUCUCUUCAUCCAGCCUUGAUUUUGAAUCUCUCCAGUCCUUCCCUUUUAUUGCUUAAGGAGAAAGUGAAGUGAGUACAAAUGCAGAUUUUUGGAGCAACUGGCAUACAACCAGAACUACUGCAUCUAAAGCAUGCAAUUUCUUGUGACUUCCAGAAACCUCUUAUAUGUGAUGCUCUCUAGAAAGGUAUCUGAUUUUGUGUAUUCAGUGUAUCAGUAUGCUAGGCAGCCUUUUUCAUGGGAUUUGUCUCCUUGUCCAACUAACAAAGGCAGGAGUUGCAUGGUAAUCAGGUAGUGUCUCAUUGUUGGCCCUGUGCUGUGCCCAUUACUAGUGCUAGUGUUUCUCCACAUGGGUGUUUGUCCCUGAGGUAUUGAAUUGAAGGAUGUGGGAGCCCACUAUUCAGCCUGGCCCCUGGUAGUGAUGAGGGUGUCCCUUGGCUUUCCUUCAAUUAUGUCUCCAAUCAGAAAUAUAGCAGGAGAAGAAAUACAAUAAAGAGGAAGGAAGUGCUUCCUUGCCAUGCAGGAUGGUAAGUAACUAAGUUUGUAGGAGAGGCUCUGUCUACUGUGGAUGUUGGAAUUCAGCAGUGGCAGACGAGUGAGAAACGCUAGAGGCUAACAAUUGGCUUUUACUGCCCUACAGCCUAACAUGAGCUGUAUAGUGAGAAAGGUGUUUCCCAAGCCAAGCAUUGUGCGGUACGUGGACCAAGGAAAACCUGACAGCAGCCUGGAGGUAAUAAAACUCAUGAAUAGGUCAAUGACAUAACCAUAGAAAUAAUUAGCAGAAAAAGCAUUGGUUGCUAAACCACUCCUGCCAAUGGGAGCAUGUAGAUGUCCAUCUGGGUUACCACUUUGGAUAGCUUCUCAACCAAGAAACUUUCAGCCACACGAGCUUGCUCUUCACUUACAGCAUUUAGCACCAUUCUGAUUUAUAGCUUAAAGUGCAAUGAAAGGGAUUAGAAGCUUUGCUUUGUGUUUUUGUUUAUUUUUUUCUUCUCCAGAAAUGUCUAUUGAACAAAAAGACUCACAAGACAGUGAAGGUUUCUAUUGUCAGAUCUGUGCUUGAUGUUACAAGGGACCCACCAGGCACAUAUGAUGUUGUCGUAUGUCUGUUUUCCUUCCUUGGGAAUGAAAUAUGGAGUAUUUCAUCAGAAGAAAUAUUGGUUUCCUUUGGUGAGUUUUUCAUAGAUAAGACACAUCUGAAAUGUUAAGAACAUUAAACACAUGUAUACUUUGUUAUUUAAAAUACAGAAUAAAUGGUAACUGUAUGGGAGUAUUGUACACGUCACACAGCUUGAACUUUCUUUCUGGCAGAUUUCUUAGCUCAAGCCUCUAAGUGAGUCAAGAAGGCUGCCAAAAACACCUGAGUAAACUCAACUAGUUAAGAAGAAACUUCUACACAAAAAAAAGAUGCUUGCUAUUGUUAGGCAGUAUCUUGCUGCCAUUCCCAUAAUCAGAAGUACCGUCAUUUAUCUACACAGUACUGGUGAGCUGUUCUAACUAUGCAUUUCUCAGUGAGUAAUCCUGCAGCGUGGCUGGCAAAAAGCGCAGACUGACUUCCUUUAGCACCCUCUUGUGUAUGCCUCAUAUUCAGGUGUAGAUGCACAGUUAGACCUUUUUUUCUUUCCUUCUAAUGUAUACGCUCUUUGCACCUUAACAAUAUAAUUGAACUGCUGGACUCUGAGCAGCCUUUUUUUUGGUACACCAGGUAAACUGGUAACUACUUGCACCUGUAUUCACUUUCAGAUGUGGAUAUACCUAUCGGUAUGUUUUUCAGCAAAGACUGUAUUGAAAACCAAAGCUCAGUCCCCUUGAGAUAUUACUUCAGAGGGAUGGAAGAUAAAUGAUCAUUUUUCUCCAAAAUGACUCAUUUCACACAAUUUGCAGUUUAGUAGAAAUGUACUCAAAUGAGAGAGCCAUCAAUUAAAGAAGUCUACAUUCUUGCCUGUGGGCUAUACUAAGAUAGCUCCACUCUGUAUAAAAAUGUUAAUGUAUUUAGAUGUGACAGAAAGGAGGGAAAUUACAUUAAUUCUUGGCUGUGUUCUGUGAAGGUGCCAUACUAACGCACAGUGUGACACCAAACUAAACUUUCAGCCUUUUAUUAUUAUUUUUUUUUUAAACAAAGCCUCACUUCUUUUAAGAACUACUUUCAUUGUUUGUCCUCCCUCUCCCCCCCCCCAAAGAAAAUAUAUCUAAUGAAGCCUUAACCCAAGCUUUUACCACGAUGGCUUCAGAAGGUAGAACAAGUUAGAAAACAAAAUAACUUGGGUUAUGUUAGGAGUGCAUCUAUAAUUUUUAAAGCUAUUAGAGAAAUGAUCUUGCAAAAGUAAGGUGUUCCUCUGUUUGCAUAGUAAGGUAUCCUUUUCUGCUGCUAUGACUUCAGAGCAAACACAGUGAAAAGAUAGUCUGGUGAUGUAAUCCAUCAUAACUAAACCCAAACAUAACUAAACCUUAACCUUGAGGAGUACUUUGUUAUUCCUGACACUUUAGCUGGCAUUUGAAUAUAGCUCUGUCAGCACUGAGCUGGUAAUUAAAAACAACGUCACUGUUAAUGGUUCAACAUUCUGCUUAAGGAAACAGCCAACAUCCUCAACUGUAUGGGAACUGAUGAAUCAUGGCCUGAACCUCUGACCACCUGAGGCGAGCACUGAGUCAGUUGCGUGAGCACAGGUGAAGGCAUUGUGGAUGGAGCCAUGCAGAUGCCGCCAUCAGAUAAACACUGAGCUCUGGAAUACUUACUGCUUCAAAGGAAGAUUAAAGGAAAAUGUUAAAGAAGUUGAUAGCACCAGACAUUGCAGGUGAUAUGAGGAAUACAAAAGGCAGCUACUUCCCCUCACCAGUGGUGGUCCUCCUCUUCUGCAGCUUUCUGAUAUUCACAGAGAAUCACAGACUGACAGGAAUAAGGAAAUAGUGUCAGUACCAAAAAGAGAUGUUAAGUAUCAACUUGGGGAACAAAAAGGGUGACCCAUAUUAAAAUUCAGAGUGCCUAAAUGACAUUAAUGUUGGAAGCUGAGCACUCCUGAGCACACUGACUUCAUCCCGCCUCUCUCUCUCUAUGCAUUACACUAACACCAUUGUGAGUGUCACAGGGAGAUUACAUGUGCUUAAUUUGAAUUGGGUAAUCAACUGGGAAUUUGCUGUCUUGUUAAUGGGAGUAGAUUAACACAUCAUUCCAUAAGCCUGCCUAAAGAGUGCUGAAGCUUUCUGUUUUACUGAGUGUAUAGAGAUGACAGCUUUGCCGUAUGGACACCGUGAUUACAUGGGAAACCUUGGCUUAAUACAAGCUUUUCGAUACCUACAUGAGCAAAUCUUCCAAUUAAUUUUUUUACUCUGCAAAUAUUGACUAAUAUGAAUGAACAGUUUCCUAUCACCGUGAAACCGACCGAAUGACAAAAAAUUAAAAAAGACACCGAUGCACACAUCAGUGGCUUACACGGAAAGGAAAUACCUGUCACUGGGGGGUUGCAGCACAGGAUGGCUGGGAGAAGCAGGUGAGCCCAAACAACACCACACAGACCCAAUGGAUGUGUUCGGAAAGAAGACUGAGAUGCCUUUGGUGAAGUCGCAAGACUCAGCUUUGGGCUCAUUUACAAGUCAUUGGUGGACCAGAGACUUAAGGACUGAAAAGAACAAGGACACCAAGGAUAAGUUUAUGUGCCAGUCUUUUUGAAAGAGCUGCGCCUUCGAAACAACAAUUUCUCCUGAGUCUGCUUUACGGAGUACUACAUUUAUGGUACGCAUCAGAAGGGAAAGGAAUAUAAUCAUUUUACUUUUCUUCUUCAUUAUAUUUUGUCAUUUGCUAUCUUUAGCUUCUUCAAGGCCUUGGGGGAAGUUUCCCAGGUAGCUCAUCCUUGUGGAGAGGACAGGCAAGACUGACUCCAUUCCUUGCAUUGACACUAAAGAUCAAAUGACUGCUCCGUGGGUUGGGUCAGAUCAGCACACUGAAUAAUCUCAGCUGGGUCAGUGGUUGCGUGAUAAUCAAUGCAGGGUGCAAGAGAUACAGCAAGAGCACAGCUUUUGGCAGCGGUAUGUUCUCACAUUGACUUCGGCGAGCCAAGAAGCUGUCCCUGCAAGCUGGUUUGAAAAAUUACUGUUACCACAGUGAUCCUUCUGCAAUUAAGGCAAAUAAACUAAAAUUAAAUCAUGUCAAAUUUAAAAUUGGUACUCUGAUCUUGGAAUGGGAUUUGCAUUAUUUACUGCUAAGCACUGGGCACCGAGUACCAAGGCUCAGUGCAUGGAAUGUCUGGUGACUUUACAUGAAUGGAUGACUUAACUGGAAAGAGCAAUCUGUCAGACAAUUAGUGCUUUGGAGAGUUACUCACCUUAUAGUACAAGGAGUUUUAAGUUCAUUGUUAAGGUAAUAUCUAUGCUCAAUAGAAAACACUUUAUUUCCUGCAAAUUAUACAGAAUUUGCAUGUGUGGAAGACUACACAUUUGAGUAUUUCUUGUUUGUGUGGGUUUGUAGAAGCAAAGCUGUUAAACUUUUGUUAG
ensembl:lncRNA